rnacentral:lncRNA from 1 species
CACUCACAGCUCUUCCAGGUGCCGCUUCCCGGGGCCACAGGCACCACUGGGCACAUCUGUCCAGCUUCCAGCACACAAAUCCUGCAACACAGAUCCGCAAUUCCAAGACUUCUAAGCAAGCUACUCCAAAGCGGCCAGGUCUCUGCUUACCCCAUCCCAGGGCCUGUGGCCAGCCACUGCAGAGCCGGGCCUAGUGCUUCAGCACCACAGACAGGCCAGCAGGAGAAGGAGAACCAGAGUGAGAAGAAGAGGAGCCACUCCAAGACCCAGCCGGAGCAUCUCAGAGGAGGGAGGGCUAACGCAGAGAGAGACCAGGUUGUUCCCUCCUGAGUGAGUGACUUUGGAGACCAGGAAACCAGGCCCCACAGUCACAGGAUCACGAAAGGGCUGCAUCUUCCGGAUAUCUUGGAGGGGAGAGGGGCAGAGAGGGACCAUUCACACAUGCACAACAGCCUGAUAGCGCCCCCCCUUACUACUGCCCUACAGAAAGAAGCCUAACAAUUGGCUCGUACAACAAAUUACCUGAGCGUCUCUGCUCUUCCCCUACAUGAAAACUCACCCAUUGAUUCCCUCUUGUACCCCAGCAGUG